CUAACAUUGCCUUCAAUAAAAUGAGAUUAAAAAAGUAGAGUGAAAUAACACUCUAAACCAGAUUCUAGUGAGAAGAACUUGAAGGAGAGAUUUCCUCAGCAUCGGUCUUUAAAUCAGCUGAAAGGCCAGAAAUAAAUGGUGACUGAAGUCACUCAUCAGUCUAUGAGGACUUUUUGUCAGAAGCACGGCAAGGAACUUCAGUUUGGCUUUCAAAAGUGCUGAACACCCAAAACUCCUACCAAGGCUUCCUGGAAUUACAGGUACUUGAUACCACUGCUAAUUUAAGCUGAAUUAACU
rnacentral:lncRNA from 1 species